rnacentral:lncRNA from 1 species
CAGAUUUCACACCAGUAUAAUUUUCAAAAAAUAAUUUAUUUGAGAACAAAAAUUAAACGAAAUAAAAAAAAAUAAAAUUUGGAAGAAUGACCAUUGUUGCAAAAAAACAAAUAUCAAAUAAACACCACCGAAUAUACCACUCUGCUUUAAUAACGAAAAUGGUUCACAAAACCAAAACAACAAACUCAAACACAUACAAAUCUUGAGAAAUCAAAGACCAAACAAAAGUACAUCAGCAUUUCAACACAUUUAUAUAAACGAAAAAACGUCAACGAUCCCGCGCAAGCGCGGGUACAACGCAUCUAGUAAUAUAAAACUAAACGGUCUCUCUAUAAUUUUUUUUUUUUUUUUUUUUUUUUCUUUAUCCAUCUUUAACUUUUUUUUUUUUUAAUUCACCCAAUGGGAAUUGGAAAGUACACGUCACUGCCGGAGAAAAACCGGAAACCCAAAGAAACGAUACUCAAACAAGAACAGAGAGACAAAGCACAACACAAGACCUAGGAGCAUAAAGCCCCACUCCGACGAACACGAUUGGUUAGCAAAUCCGAUGUCACCGUAACUUCACGGCGGCCAGUGUGUUCAGAACCAGCCGAUGAUCCAUCAACGGUUCCUCUUCAGAGCUAGAGCCAACCUCGGAGGGAUCCCGCGGCCCCGAGCGCCGGAAUCUACAGGAGAACCGACUCUUGAACUUUUCUCCGCCAAGCUCUGUCGCUGCCUCGCCGUCGCACACCUCUUCAAGCACCACGCACAAACCCUAAUUCCACCGGCCAAGAGAAGCUUCUGCAUCUAAGAGGGAAGGUUCCGGAGAACCGCCAUCUCCAGAACAAGCUCGUCGACAACAAAAGCCCCCACAGCAACGGCGUUGAAAGAAAGACCCUAGCCUGGAUGGUUAACUUGCGGAAAUCCAGAGAGCCUCCACCGUCCUCUAGCAGAGAUCUACCACCAGCUUCCGACGAAACACCAAGCCACAGCUUCAACGUAGAGGGCCACCGCGACAGUGACCUAAACACCGCGGAGGAGAGAAAGGUUGUGCCUCCUUCAGUUCGUCACUUUCCUUUUGUUAGGCGCAAGUUCCGACGAACGAAAAAGUAAAGGGGGGGGGGGGGGGGANNNNNNNNNNAAAGAAAAAGUAAAGGGGGGGGGGGGGAGCAUCCUUGGAAGACCGACGAGACGCCGGAAGGUCGGAGCUCCUCCCAGAUCUGGAUCUAGAAUUUAGAAAACAGAGAGAGAGAAGCGCGUGUCUUUACUCGCCGCUUAAAGGCCGCGGACUGUAAUACAUAUAUUUCUAUCUAUAAAUAUUUGGUUUUCACUUA